CACGGGGGGAGCAAGCGUUGUUCGGAAUCACUGGGCGUAAAGGGCGUGUAGGCGGUCAGGUAAGUGGGACGUGAAAUGCCUCGGCUCACCCGAGGAGCGGCGUCCCAUACUGCUUGGCUUGAGUACGGGAGAGGAUGUGGGAAUUCCUGGUGUAGCGGUGAAAUGCGUAGAUAUCAGGAGGAACACCGGUGGCGUAGGCGCACAUCUGGCCCGAUACUGACGCUGAGGCGCGAAAGCUAGGGGAGCAAACGGG
rnacentral:rRNA from 1 species